rnacentral:rRNA from 1 species
UACGUAGGGUGCAAGCGUUAAUCGGAAUUACUGGGCGUAAAGCGUGCGCAGGCGGUUGUACAAGACAGAUGUGAAAUCCCCGGGCUUAACCUGGGAACUGCAUUUGUGACUGCACGGCUAGAGUGUGUCAGAGGGGGGUAGAAUUCCACGUGUAGCAGUGAAAUGCGUAGAUAUGUGGAGGAAUACCGAUGGCGAAGGCAGCCCCCUGGGAUAACACUGACGCUCAUGCACGAAAGCGUGGGGAGCAAACAGG